rnacentral:lncRNA from 1 species
GAAACCCUGGGCUCAAGUCAUCCUCCUGCUGCAGCUCCUCUAGUAGCUAAGACUGCAGGUGAAAAUUCUAACAAGGAGCAAACAGCAAAGAACUGAAAUGCUAUACAGACUCCAGUGAGAAAAAACUGAGGUAAUUGGUUUCGGUGUGCUGGUGCUUGAAACUCUAUCCCAGUGCUUCCUUCAACUAAGGCUGCAAAUUGAAAAUGUGAAGAACCUUGCCUGCUUGAACCAGCCUGGGCUUGUGGCAGCAUCAUUCUGUCACUUAAUUCUUCUCACAGAGAUCACAUAGCUUUGCUUCCAUACCUAAAUUACUACAAAUUUGUGUCCGCUUGAAUGUUAUGUAAUUUAACCAGAAAUUGAAGAAAUACCACCAUUUUAAAGAAAAUAUGGUCAUAAACACUAUGGAAUACUAUGCAACCAUAACAAGAAUGAAAUCAUGUCCUUUGCAGCAACAUGGAUGUAGCUGGAGGCCAUUAUCCUGGGCAAAUUUGCAGGAGCAGAAAACCAGAUACCACAUCUCACAUGUAAGUGGGAGCUAAGCAUUUGGUAUACAUGGAUAUAAAGAUGGGAAAAAUAGACACUUGGUGACUAUUAGAGAGAGGAAAGAGGGAGAAGGGAGAAGCUAAAAACUACCUGUUGGGUAUUAUGCUCACUACUUGGGUGAUGGGAUCGUUUGUACCCCAAGCCUCAGCAUCACACGGUAUACCCAUGUAACAAACCUGCACACGGAUCCCCUGAAUCUAAAAUAAAAGUUGAAAUUAUUGUUUAAAAAAAAGGAUCUAAUAAACAUAGUAUUACAAUGUUGAUGCAUCCCUUAUUUUUAUUUAUUUAUUUAUUUUUGAGAUGCAACCUCCACCUCCUGGGUUCAAGCGAUUCUCCUGCCUCAGCCUCCUGAGUAGCAGGGAUUACAGGUGCAUGCCACCAUGCCCAGCUAAUUUUUUAUAUCUUUAGUAGAGACGGGGUUUCACCAUGUUGGCCAGGCUGGUCUCAAACUCCUGACUUUGUGAUCCACCUGCUUCGGCCUCCCAAAGUGCUGGGAUUUCAGGCGUGAGCCACCGCGCCC